rnacentral:rRNA from 1 species
AUUGAACGCUGGCGGCAUGCUUUACACAUGCAAGUCGAACGGUAACAGGCCUUCGGGUGCUGACGAGUGGCGAACGUGUGAGUAAUGCAUCGGAACGUACCCAGAGGUGGGGGAUAACGCAGCGAAAGCUGUGCUAAUACCGCAUGUGAUCUGAGGAUGAAAGCGGGGGACCGAGCAGCAAUGUUUGGCCUCGCGCCUUUGGAGCGGCCGAUGUCGGAUUAGCUAGUUGGUGGGGUAAAGGCCUACCAAGGCGACGAUCCGUAGCUGGUCUGAGAGGACGACCAGCCACACUGGGACUGAGACACGGCCCAGACUCCUACGGGAGGCAGCAGUGGGGAAUUUUGGACAAUGGGCGCAAGCCUGAUCCAGCAAUGCCGCGUGCGGGAAGAAGGCCUUCGGGUUGUAAACCGCUUUUGGCAGGAACGAAACGGUGUCCGCUAAUACCGGGCGCUAAUGACGGUACCUGCAGAAUAAGCACCGGCUAACUACGUG